rnacentral:rRNA from 1 species
CCUACGGGGGGCAGCAGUGGGGAAUAUUGCGCAAUGGGCGAAAGCCUGACGCAGCGACGCCGCGUGAGGGAUGAAGGUCUUCGGAUCGUAAACCUCUGUCAGCAGGGAAGAACGGUCACUGUGCUAAUCAGCAGUGAAUUGACGGUACCUGCAAAGGAAGCACCGGCUAACUCCGUGCCAGCAGUCGCGGUAAUACGGAGGGUGCGAGCGUUAAUCGGAAUUACUGGGCGUAAAGCGCUCGUAGGCGGUAUGUCAAGUCAAGGGUGAAAUCCCCGCGCUCAACGUGGGAACUGCCUUUGAAACUGGCAAACUGGAGUGUGUGAGAGGAUAGUGGAAUUCCAGGUGUAGGAGUGAAAGCCGUAGAUAUCUGGAGGAACAUCAGUGGCGAAGGCGACUAUCUGGCACAUAACUGACGCUGAGGAGCGAAAGCGUGGGUAGCAAACAGGAUUAGAUACCCCAGUAGUC